CAAAAAAAUUGGACCACAAUUGAUGUACCUUAACGCACAAGGAGAGUCUCAUUGCCACUGCUAGAGCACAUCAACCACCCUUUCGUCUCAGUUUUGAUUUGAAGACCACCACGAUCAUUUGAGAUCUGGAUUGUCUGUACAGAUUUUGUUGGUAGUUGGCAGGAGUAGAUCAUCGAUGCUUAUGGCUGCGGGGCUCAUGGAGCCAGAAGAGGCUGUCGGCGCCGGCGACCUUGUCGUCUUUGUCUUGUGCAAAGGUAUCAGAUGAGGGUAUUCGAAGAAGACACCAUGAAUUGGUAUUCGAAAAAGAUACCACCUUUCAUUACAUUGCUAACCAGUGAGGAUAUAUAUAAAAAGGAUACCACCAAUAGCAUAGCACCCUGCUGCUGUAAUUACAUGUACCUGUUUCAUAUAAUUAUAGUUGCAACUAAUAAGGUCAUCGAUUUUAACGAGGUCCAUAAGAUAAUAAUGUCUCCAUUGAGAUGUGCAAUGAAAUAUCGAAGGACCCUAUCCUUUUGUUUGUGGAUGCACGAAGUAAUGAUGUCUGGCUAUGGGAGUGUCUCUUCGGAUGUUCUAAGGCAGUUUCCUGUGUCUCUGCUAGCUCCGAUUCUAUUGCGCCCUAUUGUCCGACAUAUGUUUAUUUAUGUGUUUGACCCACGUGUUUAGUUAAUGUUGUUAUGCUGUCGAAGGACAAGCAGAUGUUGCAGACUGUAUGUGACCCUAUGUACCCUCUUCAGCCUGGACAGUGCUGAGGAUGAAUACAAACUUAUAUGUAAUCGGGUGGUGCUUGCUUUACUUAA